GGAAAUCACUCUCUUCUCUCUCAUCAGAGAUGUUGAGCCAUCAUCAUGUAGCAGGCAAAGGAGUUGCAGGUCUGAUCCUGGAUAGAAACUGGCCAAGGAGGAGUUACAGGGCAAGAAAUCAGCUCUCACAUGGAAGGCAUGCGAUCAAUUCUCCUUUCAGUGAACACAUUCUGAUGUGGUUUUGGAAAAUACUUUGA
rnacentral:lncRNA from 1 species